rnacentral:rRNA from 1 species
AGUGAACGCUGGCGGUAGGCCUAACACAUGCAAGUCGAACGGCAGCACAGUAAGAGCUUGCUCUUACGGGUGGCGAGUGGCGGACGGGUGAGGAAUACAUCGGAAUCUACUUUUUCGUGGGGGAUAACGUAGGGAAACUUACGCUAAUACCGCAUACGACCUACGGGUGAAAGCAGGGGAUCUUCGGACCUUGCGCGAUUGAAUGAGCCGAUGUCGGAUUAGCUAGUUGGCGGGGUAUAGGCCCACCAAGGCGACGAUCCGUAGCUGGUCUGAGAGGAUGAUCAGCCACACUGGAACUGAGACACGGUCCAGACUCCUACGGGAGGCAGCAGUGGGGAAUAUUGGACAAUGGGCGCAAGCCUGAUCCAGCCAUACCGCGUGGGUGAAGAAGGCCUUCGGGUUGUAAAGCCCUUUUGUUGGGAAAGAAAAGAAGCAGGUUAAUACCCCGCUGUUCUGACGGUACCCAAAGAAUAAGCACCGGCUAACUUCGUG